rnacentral:lncRNA from 1 species
AAGAACUCUUUGGUAUUCUUGUUGAUCGUGAUGGCACAAUCUUUGCUGCAGGUGGAAUCCAACUGUCAGGUAGUCCAACAAAGAGCAAAACAAAGGAAAGUAAGCUUGCCUUGACAUUUUUUUCCAGACGGGCGAAUGGAUCAGCCACGGAGGAGAUCUCAAGAAUCGUCGCUUUGCAGAAGAUGAGCACUUGAUCAGCGUCUGGAGCGCGCCUCACUUAAGCGAAAAGUGGAGCUUUGACGCCGGCGCGGACAUUUCGGCCACGCCGGCGAUUUACGACUGUGUUGUCUACUUCCCAUCGUGGAACGGGCUUGUCUUCGCAGUUACCAUCCACGGAGAACUUCUCUGGCGCGUCAACUUGACAAAAAUCACGGGAGUUGCCACUUUGUCACGGACGACACCGGCUGUGACCGAAGAGUUCUUGCUGUAUGGUUUGCUCGGUCCCGCUAGAGUUGUUGCUUUACACCGUAAGAGUGGAAGAAUGGUGUGGAUGUCAGAAGAUCUGGAUGAAACGCCCCUGGCAAGGAUCACCAUGUCAGGAACAGCAUACGACGGGUAAGAAAACUUCCUUUCUUUUCUUUUUUUCUUUUCUUUUUUUCUGCUCUGGAGCACCUAUCAUUUUGGCAGAGCUUUCUACGUUGGUAUAUCUUCGCUCCAAGAGCUUGUGGAGGCAGCCUGUUGCACAUUCCAAGGAAGCUUUCAGAAACUCGACCUCAAAACUGGAAAACGAAUAUGGAGAACUUCCAUGGUUCCUGAAAACUCCAGUUUCUACGGUGUUACAGUAUGGGGAAGCAGUCCUUCCAUCGAUCCCAAGCGAGGACUCGCCUUCAUUGGCACUGGAAACCUCUACCAGAUCCCGAGCGACGUCCAGGACUGCCUCAACAGAAACGCCAACUCGAGCGACUGCUAUCCUCGCGGCGUCUGUGAUGACGCCGUUGUAGCCGUGAACAUGGCCGACGGUGAGAUACGCUGGUGUAACAGGCUCGGAGGAAACGACGUAUGGAGGCUUGCUUGUGACACAAAUCCACCACCAGCAAACUGUCCACCUGAGCCUGGGCCGGACUACGACUUUGGAGAGUCGCCGAUGCUCCUCACGAUCCCAAGCCGUUUCUCCAAGAACAAGUUCCAAGAUAUUCUCGUCACCGGUCAGAAGAGCGGCAUUGUUUGGGCUCACGAUCGAGACGACGGCAGCCUUGUCUGGGAAACGGUAACUCGAGCUCCUGUUGAUAUCUAGCUUGUCCUUCCUGGUCACCUUUUGUUUUCCUCCUGUUUUGUGAAGACUGCCGGACCUGGUGGCUCUGUAGGUGGAGCGAUCUGGGGAGCCGCCACUGACAACCAUCGAGUAUACACCAACAUCGCAAACUCUGACCGUGCUACGUUCCACCUCGUUCCUUCCGGAGAAAGCACCACCGCUGGUGGCUGGGUGGCCAUGGACGCCGCUACUGGAAGAAUAGAAUGGUCAACUGCGAAUCCACACGGUGCGCGAGCUUACGGGCCUGUGACUGUCGCCAACGGUGUGGUCUUCUGCGGAUCAUUCGACAAGGAUGGUCAUGUUCUCGCACUGGACGCAGAGAGUGGACGUAUACUGUGGGAACGUACCACUGGUUCGACGGUCUACGGAGGACCCUCAGUCGGGCACGGGUGUUGGUUUAUUGGAACGGGAUACUCACGGGCUCCACUGGCUCCUGCGCUUGGAGGAACUCCCGGCUCCGAAUUAUAUGCCUUCUGUGUAUGACAUGAUCAAGGCAGCACUAGAUAGACGCACGUAAUAACGUUCUCACAGUGUUCAUAGCCGAAGUAGAUGCUGUACCUGGAAGGUAGACCUCUUACAUCUUGUGCAGCUUAAAUCUUAUACGACUAGAAAAGUUGACUGGGACUUCUUGCAAAAACCUUCUUGCCGUCCUCCAUGGAUUCGAGAAUCUGAGAAUGUUAAAGUUAGAGCCACUCACAAGAGCUUAGAAGCACGUUUUGCGAAGUUUCGAUGAAACUUCUCUACAAUGUCCAGCAGAAUGUCCCCUUAAAUGUCGAGGCAAUUUUCUUUCUCCGUCGGGCAAAGAACUUUGAGUCUGCUGUAGCUGUAAUCCUGGUAGGAAACAUGACUAGAUAUUUAAACCUAUCAGCGGAUUGUUAACAAACUUAUUGAUAUCUUCUGUAAAUUUACAUGUGACUUCUUUGAGGAGGAGCAAACAUUCGUUUUUCUUUUUGUUUUUCUCAUAAUAGGAGGAAAAAUCAAGGGAGUUCUAAGUUAUUUGAGACGAUGAAACUGAGAGACGAAAAUGUGUGACAACUAUCAAAGAGCUCGAUUCUGAAAGCUGUGCAGCAGGAUCUUGUAGAAGCCUAGGAACUAACAUUGAGAAAGCCAAAAAAUCGAUACUUAUAUUUCGUUUUUUCCUAAGGAAUUGACCUAAAAGCUCUCUAUUUAUUUAUCUCAGAAGAAAUACUUCAUGAACGUAUUUCAUUUAAAUUAGCAUAAUAUUUUAUGCAUUUCUUGUUUGAUUGUUUUUUUUUUGUUUUUAGGGUUCUUCGUUGGGGGUAGAGGGCGUGCCAUGGGCGACAAGGUCCAGGUUUUGUACUGCGCAGGUGAUUUGUAUGGUUUUUCUUUGCCGGAUCAUGCUAACUGUCCGACUCUAGUGUGUAGUUUGCCUCCUGAGUAUUGCGAAUUUGGACCGGACUUUGAGAAGUGCAAGCCCUGGCUCCUAGAGAAUGUGCCUGACUUGUAUCCGGAGCUUGCAAGAGGUACCUCGAUUGAUCGUCGUUAGUGUUGUGAUUUUACCUUCUUUUUCUUCUUCACAGAGAGAGCUGAGCAGCAACUACAAGGAUUAACUGUGAGCAAUGAAAAGGGAGAUAGCUCAAAGACACAAGGUACGUAUGAGAGAGAGAGAGACGAGUAAAUGUUCUUUUCUCUCUUUUUGUUUUAUGUCAUUUGUAGAAGAGGAUGUGAAGAGAUUACCCGGAGGAAAAAUCAAGAAGAAGGUAACGAGUUGGCAGUUCCAUGAGACGAUGAAACUUACGCUCUGCAUUUCCAGGAAAAGCCCGCGGUUGUGGUCGAGAGAGUGACGAGAAACAAAAGGAAAUGUGUGACAACUAUCAAAGGGCUCGACAUGUUUGGUAACAGGAUUUGCUGCUUGCUUCGUCUACUGCAUCUAGAAGAGCUUUUUGAAUGUCUGAAGGUGUCAAGCUGGGGGAGGCAUCGAAGAAACUCGGGAAGAAAUUCGCAAGUGGUGCGUCUGUGGUGAAGGUGAGUGGGAUUCUCACGCAUGCUCUUUCUCGCGUGACUCAAAAGUUCUUUUCAGGGCCCGACGGAGAAAGAACAAAUCGACGUUCAAGGGGAUAUUCUGCUGGACAUUGUAGACUUUAUCACAGAUACGUGGCAAAACGUGAGUUCUUCUAGGCUCUUGUGCGUGCUCUAACUUAACAUUCUCAGAUUCCUGAAUCGGCUAUCUUCUUCAUGGAGGACGGCAAGAAGGUUUCCGCAGGCUAGCGUUUGUGUGUACUAUGUGUUGGCCAGGCUAGCAAUACAAUGGGCUCAGAAGUCUUUUCUAGGUGUAUAACAGGUUUAAGCUGUACAAGAUGGAAGAGCGUGAGCUCCAACUUACAGGUACACCAUCUAGAAUAUUGACUUCGGUUAGGAACACUGGGAGAAACUUGUUGCGUGCGUCUUUCUAAUGCUGCCUUGAUAAUGUCAUACACAGAAGGCAUAUAAUUCGGAUCCGGGAGUUCCUCCAAGCGCAGCACCCAGUGGAUCCCGUGAGUAUCCCGUUCCAACAAACCAACACUCGUGCCCGACUGAGAGCCUUCCAUAGACCGUCGAACCAGUGGUACGUUCCCACAGUAUACGUCCACUCUCUGCGUCUAGUGCGAGAACAUGACCAUCCUUGUCGAAUGAUCCGCAGAAGACCACACCGUUGGCGACAGUCACAGGCUCGUAUGCUCGCGCACUGUGUGGAUUCGCAGUGGACCAUUCUAUUCUUCCAGUAGCGGCAUCCAUGGCCACCCAGCCACCAGCAGUGGUGCUUCCUCCGGAAGGAACGAGCUGGAACGUAGCACGGUCAGAGUUUGCGAUGUUGGUGUACACUCGAUGGUUGUCAGUGGCGGCUCCCCAGAUCGCUCCACCUACAAAGCCACCAGGUCCGGCAGUCUUCACAAAACAGGAGGAAAACCAAAGGUGACCAGGAAGGACAAGCUAGAUAUCAACAGGAGCUCGAGUUACCUUUUCCCAGGCAAGGCUGCCGUCGUCUCGAUCGUGAGCCCAAACAAUGCCGCUCUUCUGACCGGUGACGAGAAUAUCUUGGAACUUGUUCUUGGAGAAACGGCUUGGGAUCGUGAGGAGCAUCGGUGACUCUCCCAGGUCGUAGUCCGGCCCAGGCUCAGGUGGACAGUUUGCUGGUGGUGGAUUUGUGUCACAAGCAAGCCUCCAUACGUCGUUUCCUCCGAGCCUGUUACACCAGCGUAUCUCACCGUCGGGCAUGUUCACGGCUACAACGGCGUCGUCACAGACGCCGCGAGGAUAGCAGUCGCUCGAGUUGGCGUUUCUGUUGAGGCAGUCCUGGACGUCGCUCGGGAUCUGGUAGAGGUUUCCAGUGCCAAUGAAGGCGAGUCCUCGCUUGGGAUCGAUGGAAGGACUGCUUCCCCAAACUGUAACGCCGUAGAACCGGAAUUUUCAGGAGCCAUGUAAGUUUAAGUUCUCCAUAUUCGUUUUCCAGUUUUCGAGUUUCUGAAAGCUUCCUUGGAAUGUGCAACAGGCUGCCUUUACAAGCUCUUGGAGCGAAGACAUACCAACGUAGAAAGCUCUGCCAGUAUGAUAGGUUCUCAAGAGCAGAAAAAAAGAAAAGAAAAGAAGUUUGCUUACCCGUCGUAUGUUGUUCCUGACAUGGUGAUCCUUGCCAGGGGCGUUUCAUCCAGAUCUUCUGACAUCCACACCAUUCUUCCAUUCUUACGGUGUAAAGCAACACCUCUAGCGGGACCGAGCAAACCAUACAGCAAGAGCUCUUCGGUCACAGCCGGUAUCGUCCGCGACAAAGUGGCAACUCCCGUGAUUUCUGUCAAGUUCGUGCUCCAGAGAAGUUCUCCGUGGAUGGUAACUGCGAAGACAAGCCCGUUCCACGAUGGGAAGUAGACAACACAGUCGUAAAUCGCCGGUGUGGCCGAAAUGUCCGCGCCGGCGUCAAAGCUCCACUUUUCUCUUAAGUGAGGCGCCCUCCAGACGCUGAUCAAGUGCUCAUCUUCUGCAAAGCGACGAUUCUUGAGAUCUCCUCCGUGGCUGAUCCAUUCGCCCGUCUGGAAAAAAAAUGUCAAGGCAAGCUUAUUUUCCUUUGUUUGGACUACCUGACAGUUGGAUUCCACCUGCAGCAAAGAUUGUGCCAGCACGAUCAACAUGAAUACGAAAGAGUUCUUCUUGGAGGGGGAUUUGCGACUUUGCUCGAGAAAGAAAACUCAAGGCAUGCAAAUGCAGUCUUUCUUUGCUUUUCUAAGAUUUCAUUUUCGCGUGCUGGGUUUAGACAAAGACUUUUCUUCAUGCCGUGCAACACCCUGUUUGCAACACAAAGACUUUUCACCACACAAAGAGCACUCCCCGCAUUCAAGUGCGGGUAACUGGAUGCGUGCAUUGUUGGUAGGCAAGGGGCUUGUCCUCUUCCUUGCUAUCAUAGAUUGGCAUCACUCCCAUGUCAACGAGACCACCAUCUUGAGCAUGGUUCCAGCCUCGGUCGUCCUCUUGUACUGCAAGCUUCUAGGAGGCGGAAGUCUCAAGCCCGCGACACGCUUGCUGGAGAUUCCAUGACGAAAUCGUUUUUCUUUUUGUGCACUGCCACCUUAUGGUGAUUCAACAACUAUCUCUACUUACGCCGUUUGAAAGCGGGCCAAGGAUUUGCAAGAUGCUAAAGUUUGAUUGAUUUGUUUGAGAAGAACCAUUGACCAGUUUUCAUCCACUUGCCAGGAGGUUCGAAUACCGUGGUACGCAUGGGACUUCAACAAGCAGGUUCUUGUUCUUCGAUAGUUUAGAUAGCAUCCCAACGGCGAAUCUCCGACACAGGUUGGAGGCUGGACACAAGUCUACAAGGGAAUGACAUUUACCACAGUCAGAGGCGCUGGACACAUGGUGCCUGCCACAAAGCCGCAACAGGCACUUCAAGUUUUCAAGAGCUUCUUGGCAAGAGAAGCGUUGCCCAGCUUCCCAUGAACAAUAGGAAAGAGAGAAAGAAAACAAACACAAACGUAGCUACGCGUUCAAGGUUCGUGAAAACUAUUCGUUCUAAUCAGCUUGUCUUUGGAGUUUUCACUUUGGCGUAACAGGGACGGCUGGUGGUCAGCUGAUGGAGUUUUCGGAGUGGUCCAUUUCCACGUACAAGAUAUGAUAAUUUCGAAAUUCUAUUAUUGUUGCCACUGGAGAUAUUUAUAUCUCGCAUUUUCUGCGAGUUUCGACACCGAUGGACGCAGCACUCGCUCUUUUUAUUCUACUUACUUCAUUCCUUACAGCUCUAGCAGCGGAUCCAUCUCAUCUUGUUUCCAAGCUUCCUGGACAACCUCAAGUUAACUUCAAUCAGUAUGCUGGCCAAGUUACCGUGAAUCCAACCACAGGGAAGACACUUUUCUACUGGUUCUAUGAGGCUGAUCACCAAAACAGUUCGCUACAGCUGCCUCUAGCGAUCUGGAUGAAUGGAGGUAAGUUUUGUUCUUCAGAGCUCAAAGCUUUAUAGGACCUCGGAUGCUUUUCAGGCCCAGGAUGUUCUUCGGUCGGAGCUGGAGCCUUGGGAGAAUUGGGACCUUUUAGAACAAAUGACGCAGGCUCGGGGCUUGUUCUCAAUCCAUACGCAUGGAAUCAAGGUACGUAGAAAGGUUGUUUUUAUCGUCUUCAGGGCUAAGAGCUAGCUUUGCUUUCGAGCAGUGGUCAAUCUUAUAUUCCUCGAGGCUCCCCACGGCGUUGGAUUCUCGUACUCCAACACAACCUCGGAUUAUAACCAAUACAGUGAUGAUAUCAUGGGUAUAGGAUAUAUUGCAAAGAAUUGAUUGAUAUACCGAUUUGCCUGCAGCAUCGGAUGUUCUUGUGUUCAUCCUGGAGUGGUUGAAACGCUUUCCAGAGUAUUCAAAGAGCGAUUUUUACCUCCUCGGUGAAAGCUACUCUGGUAAAAACAACGUGUUUCAAGCUCUUCACUGUAUGAAUUUGUUCUUGCAGGGCAUUAUGUUCCGACUUUAGCUGCAAAAAUCCUCGACUACAACAAGAAGAAGGCCGGAGCUUUCAUUAACUUCAAAGGAUUUGCUGUAAGGCUUUGCUCGUCCAAAACGUUUCUACUCAUCUGGUGUUUGACGCGCAGCUUGGUAAUCCCUGGUCGGACACAUACUCUGACAACAAAGGCGACACCGAUUUCUUCCACAGUCAUUCGCUAGUCUCCGAUGAGAUCUACAACCAAGUCGUCGCCAACUGCGACUUCGCCAAGGAUCUUUCAAGCGAUGCCAAUCCGCUGUGCAGGUUCGCAGUCAGCGCCAUGGUCAACAGCAUCCAGUACGUUGACACCUACAACGUCUACGCCCCUACGUGCAACCAGCAAGAUCCCAACGGGACGAUUUUGAGCCAAACGCUGCGAGAAAAUACUUUCAUGCACACUGAGAUGCUGGCUGCUGCCUACGAUCCAUGCGCUGAUACAGUGUCUCCAUAUCUCAACUCCAAGGACGUCCAAACCGCUUUACACGUAGAAUUCAUGCCUGGGAAGUGGUCAUUUUGCAGGUAAAACCUUUUUUCUUUUCUCUCUCUCGAACCUGGUUCACAUGCGAUCUAUGUUGUGAUGCAGUCGAGCAGUGAAUGAAAACUAUCCGAUAAAGGAGAUCACGAAUUCAAUGCUUCCACUGUAUCGCUCGCUACUGAAAGAGGGUCUCAAGAUCUGGAUUUACAGGUACAACUUUGACGUUUCCUUUCAUGACAAGAGCGCAGUUUUCCCUUUCGCACGUAGUGGCGAUGUCGAUGGUGUUGUCUCGACGAUCGGGACGAAAGCGUGGAUCAAGAAGCUCAAUCUCACCAUCACGCAGAAGUGGUAUCCUUGGAAGUUCCAAGAUCAGGUACUAAAAUACAAACUUGUUCUAUUUCCUUGUUUCGUGUGAUCAUAGCUAGAUCUUCUUCCAGGUCGGCGGCUGGAGUGAGAAAUACGCGGGGCUAACGCUUGCCACAGUGAGAGGCGCUGGACAUAUGGUUCCCUUUGACCAACCCGAGCAAGCGUUGCUUUUGUUCCAACAUUUUGUCGAUGGGAGCUCACUCCCAGGCUUUUAAAUGCCAAGCGAAAUUUUCAACGUUGUGAGACUCCACUCCAUUCUAAAAUUUUUGCUCCAAUAGAUCUAGCCUCCGACAUGGCAUUUAAAAUUUCGCUUUACCAUGCCACGUCGAGUAUUUUAGUAUCAUCAUCCACUUGUUAACCUUUAGCGGACAUGUCCUCGAGACAAUGCCUGCGUUUUCACUGGCACUGUGAGGUGAUUUUAUAUUUCUUCCUUCUUCUUUGCUUCUAGGGCUUUGUUUCUGGGAGCGAGAGCGAGAGAGGAGGCGAGAGGCGAUGGCUGGAGCGCCUGGCGAUGUUGCCGAGCUUCCUCCGCGCCUGGCGAUCAUGCUGUUUAGGAAUCGAGUCCUGCUCCCGGGAGCUGUGGUGCGCAUCCGAUGCACGUCGCCGACCAAGUAAGCGCUUCUUAGGCCAUCGCGUAGAAUUUGGGAGCUAAAAUGCGGGCGGUUUGAUCGUUUUUCUCCCAGCGUUAGGCUGGUCGAGCAGGAGCUGUGGCAGAAGGAAGACAGGGGAUUGAUUGGAGUUUUGCCUGCCAGGGAUUUGCAGCAGUCCGAUCCGGCGUCUCCGCCUCCGCCUCCGCCGCCACAGCAGCAGCAGCCUCCCCCGACUCAAGGCAAGGAAAAUGCCAAGGAACUGUUUUGGGAGUUACCUGUGUGUUGAUUGUAUCUCCAGGCGAUCGAGGUGGAACUGCGCUUCCAGAUUUCCAGCAAUGCCUGGGAAAGCAAAAUCAAGAGCUCGUGCAAUGGCAUCCCCGGUAAGAAUUCCAGAGUGUUUCCUGAUGGGUCACGUAAGAAUUUUUGUAGGGGUGUAGCAGCCCGAGCUUUGCAUCUCUCUCGUGGCAUGGAAAAACCAAGUGGUCGGGUUACGUACACCGUCGUUUUAGAAGGCUGGUGUAGGUUCAGUCUCAAGGACAUGAAUGCUCGGGAUUGGUCAGCUCGAUAUGACAAAAGCAGGUAGCUGAUGAGGCGCAGCUGUUUUACUGCUUUGGUUUUUUUCUUGUAGAGAUGGAGCAGGCGGAAAAAGAUCCAGAGGUGCAACUUCUGGGACAACAGUUUAAAGUUGUUGCUAGCGAAUUGAUCUCUGCUUUGGAGCAGGUAUUCUAUCGGUACAUGUUCUCGAAUUGCUGAUUGUUUGACGUCGUAGAAGCAAAGAACUGUGGGCCGCACGAAAAUAUUACUCGAGACAACCUCUGCCCACAGGCUUGCGGACAUCUUUGUUGCAAAUUUUGAGAACAACUUUGAAGACCGGCUAGCUAUGCUAGACGCCGUCGACUUAAAACAGCGACUUGUGAAAGCGACUGAAAUCAUAACGCGCCAUCUUCAGGUUCGUGCUGACUUUCGAGUUAAGCAUCCAAUUUAAACUCGUGUACUGUCUCUAGACAAUCAAGGUAGCCGAAAAGAUAUCCCAGAAAGUGGAAGGAAAUCUCUCGAAGUCUCAAAAAGAGUUUCUUUUACGUCAACAAGUACUGUAUUACUUAUGAUCCGCAAGUUUGCUUUGUCCCUCAUGCCGCUUUACAGAUGAAAGCGAUCAAAGAGGAGCUCGGUGAUAACGAUGAGGACGAAGAUGAUGUGGUUGCUUUGGAGAAAAAGAUGCAGAAUGUGGGAAUGCCGGCAAACGUAUGGAAGCACACACAGAGAGAGCUGAGGUAAGAUAUAAUUGUGUGUCUAUUUUCAGCUGAAAUCUUGCUGCUUGCCAUUUCAUAGGAGGUUGAGGAAAAUGCAGCCUCAACAGCCAGGUUAUGGAAGCUCAAGAGCUUAUUUGGAACUCCUUGCUGAAUUACCAUGGCAGAUAAGUAGCGAAGAACGUGAACUAGAUCUUGUUGCAGCAAAGGAACGGUUGGAUAGCGAGCAUUAUGGGCUGGGAAAAGUCAAGAAGCGGAUUAUUGAGUAUUUGGCUGUACGAAAAGUAUGUAAGCUAUCUUCAAUCUUCUUUCCUUUCUAACUAAUAUUUUUGACAGUUAAAACCCGACGCGAGGGGCCCUGUCCUCUGCUUCGUAGGUCCUCCGGGUGUAGGAAAAACAUCCUUGGCGUCUUCAAUUGCUGGAGCUUUGGGAAGACUUUUUAUCCGCAUUUCAUUGGGCGGAGUGAAGGAUGAAGCAGACAUACGAGGUCAUCGUAGAACAUAUAUAGGAAGCAUGCCGGGUCGACUGAUCGAAGGCAUUAAGGUAUGGAUUGUUUAAGUUUUUUAUUCCUGAUGUUUUCAUCAUAUUGCCAGCGAGUGGGAGUCAACAAUCCGGUCAUGCUUCUGGACGAGAUCGAUAAAACAGGUACGGAUGUCCGUGGUGAUCCGGCAUCUGCUUUACUGGAGGUCUUAGAUCCGGAGCAGAAUAGGACGUUCAAUGAUCAGUACGUAUAGUACCUUCGCUUUGGUCAUGCUUUUAACUUGUUUCUUUGCAGUUACCUCAACGUUCCAUUUGACUUAUCCAAAGUGGUUUUUGUUGCCACGGCCAAUAGGAUUCAACCAAUUUCACCGCCUUUGCUUGAUCGCAUGGAAGUGAUUGAGCUACCUGGAUACACUUCUGAAGAAAAGCUGUGUAUAGCUAUGCGACAUCUCAUUCCUAGAGUUUUUGAUCAACAUGGCAUAACUGUGCAGCAUUUAAAAAUUCCAGAGGUAUAAACUGAGUUUCUGAAAUGCUUGGUUUACCAUUUCCGUGUUUGUAGGCAAUGGUGGAGCUUAUUAUUCAGCGUUAUACUCGUGAAGCUGGAGUUCGUAAUCUAGAAAGGCAUUUGGCAGCCCUUGCAAGAGCUGCGGCUGUCAAAGUUGCAGAAAGAGAGCAUUCCAUCCAUGUUGCUCGAGAAGUUCAAGCUCAAACAACUACUACUACAGUGGAAGCAUGUGGACGAGGCGAUGGUUGAAACAGUCCUUGGCGUAAGCUAUACAAUUUCCUUCUCUUCUUUUUCAUUGUCACUAAACUAUUCUUUCUCUACAGCCACCUAAGUUUUGGCAAAGAAGCGGCUGAAAGAGUGUCCACUCCCGGUGUGGCCGUGGGCCUUGUCUGGACGGCCGUUGGUGGUGAAGUUCAAUUUGUCGAGGCCACGGCCAUGACAGGGAAGGGUGAUCUCAGCUGGGAGAUGUUAUCAAAGAAUCUGCUCAGAUUGCUCUCACAUGGGUAUGUUUACAAAAAACUUUCGCUUGUAUUCAAUUGUUUAAACAGGUGAGAGCACGAGCUGCCGAGUUGAAGCUUGCAACUGGCGCGGAAAGAAGUUUAAUGGAUAGUCGAGAUAUUCAUAUCCACUUUCCAGCAGGUGCUGUGCCGAAGGACGGCCCUCCGCCGGUGUUACGCUUGUGACGGCCUUGGUGUCUUUCCUAGGGAAGAGAUGCGUGCGUGCUGACACCGCAAUGAUUGGUGAAAUGACACUACGUGUUCUCGUGUUACCAGUAGGAGGAGUGAAGGACAAGGUAAGCUUUCAGUAAUUCGCCUGCCUAACUUACGAGUGUUUCCUCGCAGAUAUUAGCUGCUCAUAGGUUCGGUAUCAAACGUGUGAUACUUGGAGCCGGGAGUUCCUCCAAACGCAGGAGCCAGUGGAGCCCGUGAGUAUCCCGUUCCAAUAAAGCAACACCCGUGCCCGACUGAGAGCCCUCCAUAGACCGUCGAACCAGUGGUACGUUCCCACAGUAUACGUCCACUCUCUGCGUCCAGUUCGAGAACAUGACCAUCGUUGUCGAAUGAUCCGCAGAAGACCACACCGUUGGCGACAGUCACAGGCCCGUAUGCUCGCGAACCGUGUGCAUUCGCAGUGGACCAUUCUAUUCUUCCAGUAGCGGCUUCCAUGGCCACCCAGCCACCAGCGGUGGUGCUUUCUCCGGAAGGAACGAGCUGGAACGUAGCACGGUCAGAGUUUGCGAUGUUGGUGUAUACUCGAUGGUUGUCAGUGGCGGCUCCCCAGAUCGCUCCACCUACAGAGCCACCAGGUCCGGCAGUCUUCACAAAACAGGGAAAACAAACGCAAGGUGACCAAGAAGAACAGGCUAGAUAUCAACAGGAGCUUGAGUUACCGUUUCCCAGACAAGGCUGCCGUCGUCUCGAUCGUGAGCCCAAACAAUGCCGCUCUUCUGACCGGUGACGACGAUAUCUUGGAACUUGUUCUUGGAGUAGCGGCUUGGGAUCGUGAGCAGCAUCGGUGACUCUCCAAAGUCGUAGUCCGGCCCAGGCUCAGGCGCUGGUGGUGGAUUUGUGUCACAAGCAAGCCUCUAUACGUCGUUUCCUCCGAGCCUGUUACGCCAGAGUAUCUCACCGUCGGCCAUGUUCACGGCUACAACGGUGUCGUCGCAGACGCCGCGAGGAUAGCAGUCGCUCGAGUUGGCGUUUCUGUUGAGGCAGUCCUGGACGUCGCUCGGGAUCUGGUAGAGGUUCCCAGUGCCAAUGAAGACGAGUCCUCGCUUGGGAUCGACGGAAGGACUGCUUCCCCAUACCGAAACGCCAUAGAAACCGGAGUUUUCAGGAACCAUGUCAGUUCUCCAUCUUCGUUUUCCAUUUUUGAGGUCUAGUUUCUGAAAGCUUCCCUGGAAUGUGCAGCAGGUUGCCUCCACAAGCUCUUGGCGCGAAGAGAUACCAACGUAGAAAGCUCUGCCAGAAUUAUAGGUACUCAAGAGCAGAGAAAAAGAAAAGAAAGGAAGUUUGCUUACCCGUCGUAUGCUGUUCCUGACAUGGUGAUCCUUGCCCGGGCCGUUUCAUCCAGAUCUUCCGACAUCCACACCAGUCUUCCACUCUUACGGUCUAAAGCAACAACUCUAGCGGGACCGAGCAAACCAUAUAGCAAGAGGUCCUCGGUCACAGCAGGUGUCGUCCGCGACAAAGUGGCAACUCGCGUGAUUUCUGGCAAGUUGACGCGCCAGAGAAGUUGUCCUUGGAUGGAAACUGCGAAGACGAACCCGUUCCACGAAGGGAAAUAGACAACGCAGUCGUAAAUCGCUGGUGUGGCUGAGAUGUCUGCGCCAGCGUCAAAGCUCCACCUUUCGCUUAAGUGAGGCGCGCGCCAGACGCUGAUGAAGUGCUCAUCCUCUGCAAAGCGACGAUUCUUGAGGUCUCCUCCGUGGCUGAUACAUUCGCCCGUCUGGAAAAAAAAAAUGUCAAGGCAAGCUUAUUUUCCUUUGUUUUGCUCUUUGUUGGACUACCUGACAGUUGGAUUCCACCUGCAGCAAAGAUUGCGGCAUCACGAUCAACAAGAAUACGAAAGAGUUCUUCAUGGAGGGGGACUUGCGACUUUGCUCGAGAAAGAAAUCUCAAGGUAUGCUUUUCUAAUAUUUCUCUUUCGCGUGCUGGGUUUAGACAAAGACUUUUUUUCAGGCCGUGCAACACUCUGUUUGCAACACAAAGACUUUGAAAGAGCACCACACAACGAGCACUCUCGGCUUUCAAGUGCGGUAACUUCGUGAUGCUGGUAGGCAAUGGAUUGAUCCUUCCAGUGUUCUGCUCGUUCGUGCUUGGCAUCGUUCCAGUCUCGAUCGUCCUCUUGUACUGCUAGUGCUAGCUGGGCGUAGCUUGCAUUUUCCAAGUCUCAAAAGUAGAAUCUUUUGCAUUCUCCCUUUUGCUCAUGAAACAUAUUUUAAAUGUGUUUUUUAAUAAUGAAUAUUUUUCAUAGUUAUCUCCCAGAGAUUGCUUGGGCCCUGGAUGGAGACCAUGCCAGCGUGAAACUUUCUUUCGUGGAUAUCUUCUUGGUCUUUUCUUGCAAAGACUGGUAGCAAUGGCGGUGGGCGAUCACCAAAUGCGCGAUAACUACAUGUAACCAUGACACCUCAAACAGUUCGUGGAAUCUUGAAAAUUCGACAUGCAAGCGUGCUUGCAACCAGGAUCUUUCCCCUUGGAUUUCAAAACUUACAUGACCGACCAAAACUUUACAUGAUCGAGCUCAAAAACUUUACAUGAUCGAGCACGCGGAAUUGGGGUUCUCUGCGCUAAACAUUGUGGUGAUGCUGUCGUCGCGUACGGGCGGGCGAAAGCGCUGCUCGUAUCCAUAGUCAUGAUCAUAGAGCUGCUCCUCGUACAGCGUCGCCAUUGGCGUGUAGAUGGCGACCUUGGGAUCGUAGAGAUGGGCCGGCCAAAGCUCCACGGGCUUGCCCGCCCUGCGCAGCCGCUUGAUGAUGCGCUUGGGGUCUGCAGUGCCCGUGAUCGUCACCUUCUGAAGCUGCCGAUCGAUGUCGAUGCUGUCGAUCCCCGGCAUGAAGAGCGCUCGCUUCACCAAUCGCUCGCAGCGGUCAGAGUGCAUCGGUACUCGCAGCUCGAUAAGCUGGAAAGGAGCAGAAGAGAGAACGUCAGAUUCUUAGCGAUUCUUACAAGAUCAAGAGUUUCACGGAACGUACCCC